rnacentral:rRNA from 1 species
CACCGCGGUUAUACGAGAGACCCAAGUUGAUAGACCUCGGCGUAAAGCGUGGUUAGGAAAAAACUAAAACUAAAGCCGAACACCUUCAGAACUGUUAUACGUAUCCGAAGGUAAGAAGUUCAACUACGAAAGUGGCUUUAUAGCCUCUGAACCCACGAAAGCUAUGGCA